rnacentral:rRNA from 1 species
AUAUUAAAGUUGUUGCAGUUAAAAAGCUCGUAGUUGAAUUUCGGGGUUAGUAGGUUGGUGAUGCCUCUGGUAUGUACUGGUCUCACUGAUUCCUCCUUCCUGAUGAACCUUAAUGCCAUUUAUUUGGUGUUUUGGGGAAUUUGGACUGUUACUUUGAAAAAAUUAGAGUGUUUAAAGCAAGCUAACGCUUGAAUACAUUAGCAUGGAAUAAUGAAAUAGGACGUUCGAUCCUAUUUUGUUGGUUUCUAGGAUUGACGUAAUGAUUAAUAGGGAUAGUUGGGGGCAUUAGUAUUCAAUUGUCAGAGGUGAAAUUCUUGGAUUUAUUGAAGACUAACUACUGCGAAAGCAUUUGCCAAGGAUGUUUUCAUUAAUCAAGAACGAAAGUUAGGGGAUCGAAGACGAUCAGAUACCGUCGUAGUCUUAACCAUAAACUAUGCCGACUAGGGAUCGGAUGAUGUUAAUUUUUUAAUGACUCAUUCGGCGCCUUACGGG